AUGUUGGGGCAGCAAUUGCUUGUCCAAGAUUAUCUGAUGACAGUAAGCGGAACUGAUCCAAGUCAAUCCAAUCCAAGUAAGUGUGAAGCUCCAACCGUGCCCUCUACCUGGGACUGGAUGCUCCUGAGAACAGCUGCUACUUGAAAGCAAAUGCAACAUACGGGACAUGUAUUAAAAAAUGAAGAGUUACUGCUGUAACCAUACUAAUCCCAGCCUUGCAAAUGGGAUUCAUGUAGUAAACAAGAGGUGGAAAGAGAAGGUGAAAUCCAAAAGUUGAUGCUGCUGGACACCUAACUCUACAGGCAAGGACAGAUGGUAAGACAGCAUAGUCUUCAUUAGAACAGCCAUGACACCUGUGUCUUGUCUGUAGAACACUAAAAGUCUCUCAGAAUAGUAAGAGAAUAAAAUCUCAAAGAGGGAAAGUGGCA
rnacentral:lncRNA from 1 species